rnacentral:rRNA from 1 species
UUUAUGGAGAGUUUGAUCCUGGCUCAGGAUGAACGCUGGCGGCGUGCCUAAUACAUGCAAGUCGAGCGAACGGACGAGAAGCUUGCUUCUCUGAUGUUAGCGGCGGACGGGUGAGUAACACGUGGAUAACCUACCUAUAAGACUGGGAUAACUUCGGGAAACCGGAGCUAAUACCGGAUAAUAUUUUGAACCGCAUGGUUCAAAAGUGAAAGACGGUCUUGCUGUCACUUAUAGAUGGAUCCGCGCUGCAUUAGCUAGUUGGUAAGGUAACGGCUUACCAAGGCAACGAUGCAUAGCCGACCUGAGAGGGUGAUCGGCCACACUGGAACUGAGACACGGUCCAGACUCCUACGGGAGGCAGCAGUAGGGAAUCUUCC